rnacentral:rRNA from 1 species
GAUGAACGCUGGCGGCGUGCUUAACACAUGCAAGUCGAACGGGAAUUACUUUAUUGAAGCUUCGGUCGAUUUAAUUUAAUUCUAGUGGCGGACGGGUGAGUAACGCGUGGGUAACCUGCCUUGUACAGGGGGAUAACAGUCAGAAAUGGCUGCUAAUACCGCAUAAGCGCACAGAGCUGCAUGGCUCAGUGUGAAAAACUCCGGUGGUAUAAGAUGGACCCGCGUUGGAUUAGCUAGUUGGUGGGGUAACGGCUCACCAAGGCGACGAUCCAUAGCCGGCCUGAGAGGGUGAACGGCCACAUUGGGACUGAGACACGGCCCAG